GAUCAUGGCUCAGGANAACGCUGGCGGCGUGCUUAACACAUGCAAGUCGAACGAAGCACCUCUGAUUGAUUCUUCGGAUGAAAGAUUUGGUGACUGAGUGGCGGACGGGUGAGUAACGCGUGGGUAACCUGCCUCAUACAGGGGGAUAACAGUUAGAAAUGACUGCUAAUACCGCAUAAGCGCACGGUACCGCAUGGUACAGUGUGAAAAACUCCGGUGGUAUGAGAUGGACCCGCGUCUGAUUAGCUAGUUGUGGGGUAACGGCCUACCAAGGCGACGAUCAGUAGCCGGUCUGAGAGGAUGAUCAGCCACACUGGAACUGAGAUACGGUCCAGACUCCUACGGGAGGCAGCAGUGGGGAAUAUUGGGCAAUGGGCGAAAGCCUGACCCAGCAACGCCGCGUGAGGGAAGAAGGGUUUCGGCUCGUAAACCUCUGUCCUAUGGGACGAAGAAAUGACGGUACCAUAGGAGGAAGCCCCGGCUAACUACGUG
rnacentral:rRNA from 1 species